GAUGAACGCUGACCGAAUGCUUAACACAUGCAAGUCCACUUGAACUUCGGUUUGGGUGGCGGACGGGUGAGUAACGCGUAAAGAACUUGCCUCACAGUUAGGGACAACAUUUGGAAACGAAUGCUAAUACCUGAUAUUAUGAUUUUAGGGCAUCCUAGAAUUAUGAAAGCUAUAUGCGCUGUGAGAGAGCUUUGCGUCCCAUUAGCUAGUUGGAGAGGUAACGGCUCACCAAGGCGAUGAUGGGUAGCCGGCCUGAGAGGGUGAACGGCCACAAGGGGACUGAGACACGGCCCUUACUCCUACGGGAGGCAGCAGUGGGGAAUAUUGGACAAUGGACCAAGAGUCUGAUCCAGCAAUUCUGUGUGCACGAUGAAGUUUUUCGGAAUGUAAAGUGCUUUCAGUUGGGAAGAAAAAAAUGACGAUACCAACAGAAGGAGUGACGGCUAAAUACGUG
rnacentral:rRNA from 1 species